rnacentral:rRNA from 1 species
CAAGGAUUCCCCUAGUAGCGGCGAGCGAAGCGGGAAGAGCUCAAAUUUAUAAUCUGGCACCUUCGGUGUCCGAGUUGUAAUCUCUAGAAAUGUUUUCCGCGUUGGACCGCACACAAGUCUGUUGGAAUACAGCGGCAUAGUGGUGAGACCCCCGUAUAUGGUGCGGACGCCCAGCGCUUUGUGAUACAUUUUCGAAGAGUCGAGUUGUUUGGGAAUGCAGCUCAAAUUGGGUGGUAAAUUCCAUCUAAAGCUAAAUAUUGGCGAGAGACCGAUAGCGAACAAGUACCGUGAGGGAAAGAUGAAAAGCACUUUGGAAAGAGAGUUAACAGUACGUGAAAUUGUUGGAAGGGAAACGCUUGAAGUCAGACUUGCUUGCCGAGCAAUCGGUUUGCAGGCCAGCAUCAGUUUUCCGGGAUGGAUAAUGGUAGAGAGAAGGUAGCAGUUUCGGCUGUGUUAUAGCUCUCUGCUGGAUACAUCUUGGGGGACUGAGGAACGCAGU